AAGAAAGUGACUGCCGCCCCGCACAGGGGCGAAGCUAAUAGACCAAUAACAAAACAAGUUUCAUAGGAGCGCGAGCGGAUCAAACACCCCUACCCCUUCCACAUGAUAAAAAU
rnacentral:sRNA from 1 species